CCAUGGCUUUCUGAUUCUCAAGGGGAUUAUCUGAUUGUGAGGUAUGUAAAGCAACCUGAGAAGUUGUCGGAACACGCUCAUCACUAUCAUGUACAUGGAUUUCAUCAUCAAGUUGCAUAGUGUCCCCGGCUAAUGAGCCACACUUGUUCAUAUCAACAUCCCGAUCACCAUCUAUUCCAGGGCUUUCUGUUUCCAGAACUCGCUCCGUUCCAAUUGCAUUUCCUUCCAGGACAGGUGCCGUACCAACACCAUCAAUCUCAGAACCAAAGCCACCAUUAGCAUGACGAUUGGCACUUGUGAAUUC
rnacentral:misc_RNA from 1 species